rnacentral:rRNA from 1 species
CAGCCGCCGCGGUAAUACGUAGGGUGCGAGCGUUAAUCGGAAUUACUGGGCGUAAAGCGUGCGCAGGCGGUUAUGUAAGACAGGUGUGAAAUCCCCGGGCUUAACCUGGGAACUGCGCUUGUGACUGCACAGCUAGAGUAUGGCAGAGGGGGGUGGAAUUCCACGUGUAGCAGUGAAAUGCGUAGAGAUGUGGAGGAACACCGAUGGCGAAGGCAGCCCCCUGGGCCAAUACUGACGCUCAUGCACGAAAGCGUGGGGAGCAAACAGGAUUAGAUACCCCCGUAGUCCCUGUCUCUUAUAC